rnacentral:rRNA from 1 species
AUUGAACGCUGGCGGCAGGCUUAACACAUGCAAGUCGGACGGUAACAGGAGGAAAGCUUGCUUUCUUUGCUGACGAGUGGCGGACGGGUGAGUAAUGCUUGGGAAUCUGUUUUAUGGAGGGGGAUAACUACGGGAAACUGUAGCUAAUACCGCGUAAUAUCGAGAGAUUAAAGUGUGGGACCGUAAGGCCACAUGCCAUAGAGUGAGCCCAAGUGGGAUUAGGUAGUUGGUGGGGUAAAGGCCUACCAAGCCGUCGAUCUCUAGCUGGUCUGAGAGGAUGACCAGCCACACUGGGACUGAGACACGGCCCAGACUCCUACGGGAGGCAGCAGUGGGGAAUAUUGCACAAUGGGCGCAAGCCUGAUGCAGCCAUGCCGCGUGAAUGAAGAAGGCCUUCGGGUUGUAAAGUUCUUUCGGUGGUGAGGAAGGUUGUAAUGUUAAUAGCAUUAUAAUUUGACGUUAGCCACAGAAGAAGCACCGGCUAACUCCGUGCCAGCAGCCGCGGUAAUACGGAGGGUGCGAGCGUUAAUCGGAAUAACUGGGCGUAAAGGGCACGCAGGCGGAUACUUAAGUGAGGUGUGAAAGCCCUGGGCUUAACCUAGGAAUUGCAUUUCAUACUGGGUAUCUAGAGUAUUUUAGGGAGGGGUAGAAUUCCACGUGUAGCGGUGAAAUGCGUAGAGAUGUGGAGGAAUACCGAAGGCGAAGGCAGCCCCUUGGGGGAAUACUGACGCUCAUGUGCGAAAGCGUGGGGAGCAAACAGG